UUGGACACUACAGUAAAAAUAAACAAUAACCCCACUUUAUUACUCCUACAUCACUCCUUUAUCACUCCUAUCUCACUCCUUUAUUACUCCUUUAUUACUCCUACAUCACUCCUUUAUUACUCCUACAUCACUCCUUUAUUACUCCUACAUCACUCCUUUAUCACUCCUACAUCACUCCUUUAUUACCUCCUACAUCACUCCUUUAUCACUCCUACAUCACUCCUUUAUUACUCCUUUAUCACUCCUACAUCACUCCUUUAUCACUCCUACAUUACUCCUUUAUUACUCCUACAUCACUCCUUUAUUACUCCUUACUCCUACAUCACUCCUUUAUUACUCCUACAUCACUCCUUUAUCACUCCUACAUCACUCCUUUAUUACUCCUACAUUACUCCUUUAUCACUCCUACAUCACUCCUUUAUUACUCCUACAUUAUUCCUUUAUUACUCCUUUAUUACUCCUACAUCACUCCUUUAUUACUCCUACAUCACUCCUUUAUUACUCCUACAUUAUUCCUUUAUUACUCCUACUUCACUCCUUUAUUACUCCUACAUUACUCCUUUAUUAUUCCUACAUCACUCCUUUAUUACUCCUACAUCACUCCUUUAUUACUCCUACAUUACUCCUUUAUUACUCCUACAUCACUCCUUUAUUAUUCCUACAUCACUCCUUUAUUACUCCUACAUUACUCCUUUAUUACUCCUACAUCACUCCUUUAUUAUUCCUACAUCACUCCUUUAUUACUCCAACACACACUCUUUAUUACUUCUGUUUUAUGACAGGAAGUUAAACUCAUAAUUCAUCUAAAAUAUAUUUUUUAUUGAAAACAUAUUCAAACAUCCUGAUUUAUUCAAGUUUCUCACCAAAAACUAAAUUGUACAAGUUUACAUUUGAACACAUCAUGAUAACGUUAUAAUUCACCUUCAACAAUACAAAUUUUUACUGAAUAGAGUCUGAACGCAUCAUAAUGUAACUCAGUGGAACCUCCGUUACUGUUAGCUAACAACCAACAGCUGACAGCUAAUGUUAGCUAGCUCUCCUACAGAUAUUACCACAUAUUUGUUGUUUACUAUGUAGCAUUAUCAGGGAAAACCGGGUCGACAGGAAGUUUACUGCGUCCUUUUGGAUUUUAACAAGUCAAUGGGACACUAUUAGUCUCGACCCCCUGGUACUUUCCGUAGAACAACGAGUACCGUCACAUUUUCUAUAUAUCGAACGGUAACUCCCUGUUUCGUGAUACGCAUCGUGUUUCCAGAUUCUUGCGAACACACAGCCCAAACCAUAACACUGCAGGGAAUAUAUGAGCAGAGAAUAACGUCAGGAUGUGAAAGUGACCUCCUGUGAGCCGGCAGUAACGCUGGGUUUGCCCUUGACUUGGCUGAAGGAUGGCCACCGGCACACACACACACACACACACAGUGAUGAGCUAGCUAUGAUUAGCAUCACGCCUGUAGCCGCUUUCCGCUGUAUUCUUGUACAUGAACCAUAUUCAGAGUAUCACCUCAUGAUGAGCUAACUGAUCAUUAUAACCUGCAGGUUCUUGGUUCGACCUUCAGCUAAGGUAUUCAUAUAACCUUCAAGAUAUUGAACAGUACGCAGACCAAACAGUUUUCUGAAUGCUGCACACAAUGCAAUGCAAGAAGAAAUUGAAGAGCAGCUGAAAAAACUUUAAACUUAUUGAGAAUUGUGACAGAACAGCUCUUAAAUCUUUGAAAACAAAUGUUUCUGUCCAUUUGUGAAGUUUAAAUGUAAAAGUAAAGUAUGUUAAUUUCUGCUAAGAUAAAUCGUUUUUUUUAAACAUACUGUGUACAGGUAGGAUCUUAGCAGCAGCGGUAAAGUGAGACACUUUAAAAUCUAAAUGUUGAAAUGUAAAAAUUACAAAUUCGACAGAUUUGACACGAGAAUUUCAACAAUUAAAAAAUGAGUACAAGACGCUGAAUCUCCUCUGCUCAGUGAAACUUUAAU
rnacentral:lncRNA from 1 species